AUUGAACGCUGGCGGCAAGCCUAACACAUGCAAGUCGAACGAGUGGCGGACGGGUGAGUAAUGUCUGGGAAACUGCCUUAUGGAGGGGGCUAACUACUGGAAACGGUAGCUAAUACCGCAUACCAUCGGAUGUGCCCAGAUGGGAUUCGCUAGUAGGUGGGGUAAAGGCUCACCUAGGCGACGAGCCCUAGCUGGUCUGAGAGGAUGACCAGCCACACGGGAACUGAGACACGGUCCAGACUCCUACGGGAGGCAGCAGUGGGGAAUAUUGCACAAUGGGCGCAAGCCUGAUGCAGCAAUGCCGCGUGUAUGAAGAAGGCCUUCGGGUCGUAAAGUACUUUUAGCGGGGAGGCGUUACCCGAAGAAGAAGCACCGGCUAACUCCGUGCCAGCAGCCGCGGUAAUUC
rnacentral:rRNA from 1 species